GUCAGCGCAAAAAAAAUAAGCAAACCCUAAGCCCCUCUUCUUCUCUCCGCUUCUUCUCCAGCCGACGACGCAGAGCUCCUCUUCGCUUCUCCUAAGCCCACGUCCCGUGCUCCUCUUCGGCCGUCGAAAAAACCCUCUUCUCCUCUCCGCUUAUUCUCCAGCCGACGACGCAGAGCUCCUCUUCGCUUCUCCAGCCGACGCCAGCCCUCCUCCUCUUCGCCCGCAGCUCCCCUGUGCGCCUACUCUCUCCUAGGUACAAUUAGUUGUGUUUCUAAUCGUGAAUGACUAGUGAUAUAGCAUUAGAUUUGAUCCAAGAUAGUUGGCACCAAUACAGUUUGAUGCUGAUAACCACCAAGCCUAUAGGGCAGUAGCUAAAAUCUACAACCGACAAAGCCCUACUAUAUCCAUAGCUACUGGUGAACUGUGUUGGUAUAUGGUGGUUCAGGUUAGUAUCAACAAGUGAUGUCACCAAUUAGGAUUGAAAUUUUGAUACUCUGAUUAGUUGUGUUUCGCUAAGUAUAUAUUAAUGUUUUCUGAACCAAAAUCUUUCCUACAACAAGCUUUAGUAUUUUCCCCCUGUUGUUGUUUACUUUCCUGUACAGCAUGUUGUUCUUGAGUGGCUUGCUUGGUAUGUAUUAUUCAAAUAAGCACAACUCAUUAUCCUCCUACCUGCUUACAAUGGGGCUAGUCAUAAUUUUCUUUAUUAAUUUGACGACAAUAAUUUAAUUUUUGCUAAAUGGCAGUUUGGCAGAAGUGUCAGUUAAGAGAAUUUGUUUGACAUCAAAAUUUGCUAAGCCAUUUGCUUAUUUUUUAGGCUUCAUUUUUCAUUGCUUAUGUGGUAACAUCAUGGACUAGCUUAUCUUGGGCACUCAAUUGCACGAUCCCUCUUAUCAGUGAUCUCGUAACAAGACAUUUUAGCAAGAGCAAGGAUGAGUUUGACAUACCAUCGAUCCCAUACCACAGUGAGAUACCAAGGAUUCUAUUAUUUGUGCUCCUUGGCCUCACUUACUUCCUUUUAGCUCCAAUGAUACUGCCAUUUAUAUUGAUCUUCUUCUGCAUGGGUUACAUUAUCUACAAAGAGCAAGGUGAGUGGCAUUUUAUGCUACAUUUUUGUUGUGUUUGCCGGUCUACACCUUGGAUAGAAACAUCUUUGUUGCAUAGGGAUGUUUAGCGAACAUUAACUAUGAUUAUUUCUUUUGUACUUGUGAUAAAUACCAACAUCUAUUAUUACCUUUGAAAUGAUUGUUUACUGGCUGAGAUCGAUAAUAUUGUAAUUGAUCUCUGGAAUUGGAAUUUUCUUGCAGUUAUUUGAUGUGUAACCUAAGUAUGACACAGGUGGCAGGUUUUGGCCUGUGGUGCACAACUCGACGAUAUUCUCUCUUGUGCUUAUGCAUGUUAUCGCAUUUGGCAUAUUUGGGCUUAAGAAGCUACCCCUUGCCUCAGGCUUAAUUGUGCCACUUCCAGUGCUCACUUUUCUGUUUAUAUAUUAAUCUUUUAUUGUGGCACACUUUUUUCAGGUUUAAAGUAUUUAUCAUGGAGGGCAAAUCUACGAGUUGUCGUAGGUUGAAUUUUGAUGAGUCAAUUGAAGAGUAUUCUGAAGCAAACCAAGGCUGUGGUGAUUAUGAAGUUAAUGUAGAAGAAAGGGCUGAUGAAGGCAAUGAAGAUGAUACAGAGAUUUCCCCCCCCCCCCCCCAUUAAGCACAGAUGAAUUGGUGCCAAAAAUUGGUAUGGAAUUUCAAACAGAAGAGGAAGCGUAUGACUUUUAUUUGAAAUAUUCUAAACAAGUUGGAUUUGGCAUACGAAGGACAAGAACCCAUAAUGAUAAUUCGGGCAGAUUAAUUGACAGGGCGUUUUGUUGUAGUGCACAAGAAAAAAGGGGAAAGGACAAACAAGAUAUUUAUGUGAAGCAAAGUCGUGCUGAGACAAGAUUUGGUUGUGAUGCUAAACUGAGGAUUAGUUGUCGAAAUAAUGACAAAUUUUGUGUGGUGAACUUCAUUAAAGAGCAUAAUUAUUAUCUUUCAAGUCCAAACAAAACACAUCUCUACAGAUGUCAUAGGAACAUAUCUUCUUCUGCAGCGAUACAAAUUGAGAUGGCAAGUGAGGUGGGAAUCCCCCUAAAAGCAUCUCAUGAUCUUAUGAUGAGACAAGCAGGUGGGAGGGAGAAUUUAGGGUUUAUUCCUGAAGACUAUAAGAACUACUUGCGAUCUAAAAGAACAAGAAAUAUGAGAGUGGGGGAUACAGGAGGUGUUCUAGAAUAUUUGCAGAAAAUGCAAUGUGAUGAUCCAAAUUUUUUUAAUGCUAUUCAAGUUGAUGAAGAUGAUUUGAUCACAAAUAUUUUUUGGUCUGAUGCUAAGAUGAGAGCUGAUUAUGGUAAUUUUGGAGAUGUUGUUUGUUUUGACACAACCUAUAGGAAGAACAAUGAAGGUCGUCCAAUUGCAUUGUUCGUAGGUGUUAAUCAUCAUAAGCAAUCCAUAAUUUUUGGUGCAGCUUUAUUAUAUGAUGAAACUACUUUGUCAUUUGAAUGGUUGUUUGAUACCUUCACUAAAGUUAUGUCUGAGAAAAAACCAACAACUAUUCUUACAGAUCAAGAUGCUGCAAUGACAAAGGCUUUAGCUUCCAGAUGGCCUGAAACACAUCAUCGUUUAUGCAUUUGACACAUUUAUCAAAAUGCCGCAAUACAUUUGAGUGGAGUUUUUUCUCAAUUCAAAGAGUUUGCUAAAGAUUUUGCCUCUUGUAUAUAUGAUUUUGAUGAAGAGGAAGACUUUCUUUCUACUUGGAACUUGAUGUUGACUAAGUAUGCACUUGAAGAUAAUGAUUGGUUGAGACGUUUGUUCAGCAUAAAGGAAAAAUGGGCGUUAGUAUAUGGAAGACAAAUAUUUUGUGCGAAUAUGACUACAACCCAAAGAAGUGAGAGCAUGAAUAGCAUUUUGAAAAGGUAUGUCACUUAUCAGCAUAAGUUUUUAGAGUUUUUCAAUCACUUCGAAAGAUUGCUUCAGGAUCGUCGAUAUGAAGAGUUAAAAGCAGAUUUUAGAUCCAAUUCAGGUGUUCCAUGUUUAUUGUAUCCGGUUGAAAUAUUAAAACAUGCUAGUUAUACUUAUACUCCUGAGGCAUUCAAGUGUUUUGAAAAAGAAUGGUAUAAAUCUCAUGAUUCUAUUGUAGAAAUUUGUGAGAUUGUUGGAUCACAUGCAACAUACAAAGUUACUUCGCACAAAAAGAAGCACCAUCAUAUAGUUACACUCUAUUCAUCUUCUGAAAAAAUUCAGUGCAGUUGUAGCUAUAGAAAAUAUGAAUUUGCUGGGAUUUUAUGUUCUCAUAUUUUGAGAAUAUUUUCUAUGAAAAAUAUUAUGAAGAUCCCAAAUGAGUAUAUUUUGAAAAGAUGAACAAGAAAUGCAAAAGGUGGAUACUUUGAAGGUAAUAAUACAAUUGUGAACAAAGAUAGUUUGGAUCCAAAAAUUCUUCACAAUAUGCGAUAUAGAGAUUUGUGUGGGUUAUCUCUUCAAUUGGUUACCAAAGCAGCAGAAAGGGAUGACACCCACAUGGUUGUUAAAAAUGCUAUGUUGAGCUUAUGUAAGAUGGUUGAUGAAAAAUUACAAGUUAAUGAAUCAAUUGUGCAUCAAUCAAAUCUUAGCCAAGAAGCUAGUCAGUUGGUUCAAUCUCUAGAUGACACAACAAGGAAUUUGAAUGAAACAGAUUAUCAAAUUGGCGAAGGAAACGAUCUUACAGUCAAAGGAAUUAAGCCUAAGAAGAAAACAGUUUCAGGCAAGAGGUUGAAAAGAGGCAUAGAACAAAUUUCUAGAAAAAAGAAAGGGGCAAGCAAAACUAACCAAACUCCAACAAUUGUUCAGGGUAUAGAAGAUCCCAAUAUAGAAGAUCAAUUUUCACCACUUUUGCCAACACAACUAUCUCAGGUGACUUCCUCAACUUCAAAAUUUCAGACUGCUAUCUCAGCUUUGGACAACAGAUUAAACGAAGAACAAGAAUAUGGUAAUACUGAUGUUGAAGGCGUUGACUCAACAAAUGCAUGCUAUGGUGGAACAGUUGCCUUGUUUAAUUGUGUUAACUGGGUAGAAAGUAGCUAAUGGGAUGGACGCUACGGAUUGGAUGUCUAGAGCAAAAGCUUUUAGUAAUUGCUGUGGUUGUUGUUGCUGCUGCUGCUGUUGCAAGUGUGCAAUUUGGGCAUCUAAUUUUACCAUAGGAACUACAAGUAUAGACCAUGUAAAUAUUUCAUAAUUGUGUCUUUGUUUAAUCCUGAAAGGAAAGUGUUGUGUGAUCCAAUUUUAA